UGCAGUUGUGCUUAAUUUAGUGACUGCCUCCCAACUGACAGACACUGGCCCACAAGGCUGCCACACAUUGUUACUCCAGGGCCCUGGUCCUCUUCCCAGGCCUUGGGGAUAAAUUUGGUUAGACAUUA